AGCCUUUUGGUUGUUUUAUGAAAGGUGGUUUCUGCUCAGUGGUUUUGAACAGCCGCGGUAAUUUGACCGUGCGAAGGUAGCAUAAUCAUUUGCUCUAUAAUUUAGGGCUUGUAUGAAUGGGGGUACAAGGGGCUUGCUGUCUUGAAAAAAACUUUAGAAUUUGUUUUUAUUGUGAAGAAACAGUAAUUUGGUAAAGGGACAAGAAGACCCUUUUGAUCUUGACUUUUUUUGAAUGAGUGUGUUUUUUGAAAAGUUUGGUUGGGGUGAUCGGAGAAGAGAAGAAAUCUUCUUUUUUAAAAAUACUUGUGGUCCAAAAUUUUUGGUUGAAGGAAUAAGUUACCAAAGGGAUAACAGCGUUAUUUUUUUUGUGAGUUCUUAUUAAAAAGAGAGAUUGCGACCUCGAUGUUGACUUAUAGUUUUCCUUUUGGCGCAGUGGCUAUGUGGGAGGGUCUGUUCGACCUUUAAUUUUUU
rnacentral:rRNA from 1 species